rnacentral:rRNA from 1 species
CCCUUAGAGUUUGAUCCUGGCUCAGGAUGAACGCUAGCUACAGGCUUAACACAUGCAAGUCGAGGGGCAUCAGUUUGGUUUGCUUGCAAACCAAAGCUGGCGACCGGCGCACGGGUGAGUAACACGUAUCCAACCUACCUCAUACUCGGGGAUAGCCUUUCGAAAGAAAGAUUAAUAUCCGAUAGCAUAUAUUUCCCGCAUGGGUUUUAUAUUAAAGAAAUUCGGUAUGAGAUGGGGAUGCGUUCCAUUAGUUUGUUGGGGGGGUAACGGCCCACCAAGACUACGAUGGAUAGGGGUUCUGAGAGGAAGGUCCCCCACAUUGGAACUGAGACACGGUCCAAACUCCUACGGGAGGCAGCAGUGAGGAAUAUUGGUCAAUGGACGCGAGUCUGAACCAGCCAAGUAGCGUGAAGGAUGACUGCCCUAUGGGUUGUAAACUUCUUUUAUAUGGGAAUAAAGUG